GUGCAAGGACAUGAAUAAGGAGGAAUUACAUAAAGUUUUACAAGAUUGUUUGAAUGGAAAAAGAUUUUUUAUGGUGCUAGAUGAUGUAUGGAACGAGGACAAGAAGAAAUGGAGUGAGCUGAAAGAUUUGUUGUGUGUGGGGGAGCCCAAUGGAGUAGAAUAAUUGUCCCAACUCGUAGCUGCAAAGUGGCUACAAUCAUAGGCACAACACCUCAGUAUGAUUUAGAACAUCUUUCUUAUGAGAAUUGUCUAUCAUUGUUUCUUAAACUUGCCUUUAAAGAAGGUGAAGAGAAACAACAUGACAAUCUUGUAAGAAUCGGGGAAGGAAUUGUUCAAAAAUGCAAAGGGGUUGCUUUGGCCGUGAAGACUUUAGGCAGCCUACUCUGUUCAACUAGGGUACAACAUGAUUGGGAACUUGUGAGAGAUAGUGAGCUAUGGAAGUUGAAGCAGGAGGAAAAUGACAUCUUGCCUGCUCUAAAACUAAGUUAUGAUCAUUUGCCCUGGUAUUUAAAGCAAUGUUUCGCCUUUUGUUCAGUUUUUCCAAAAGAUUUUGAAUUCAAUCCUCUCUAUUUGAUCCCGUUGUGGAUGGCAAAUGGCUUUUUGCAAUCACCAUACGAAAAUGAAGAGCCAGAAGAUAUUGGGAAUCGGUAUAUACAAGAGUUACUAUCAAGAUCUUUCUUCCAACAAGUUGAAGAUAAGUUUUUAACUUUCACCUUCAAAAUGCAUGAUCUAGUACAUGAUCUUGCAUUAUCAGUAGUGCAAAAUGAGGUGAAUUCAUGUAACCAUUAUUCAACUGGGAAUGUUCGACAUUUAUUGUUUGAUCUAUUGAAGCAAGAUGGUUCGCAGUUACCGAAUAACUUGAGCUGUCUGCAAUCACUUUUCUUAUUAGAUGAAGAAGGCAAGGCUGAUAGCGAAUCUCUUAUUGCCAAAGUCAUCUCAAGGUCUAAACAUUUGAGGGUGCUACAUAUGUCUGGCUGCAGUUUUGAGCAUUUGCCAAACAAUAUACGUUAUUUAAAGCAGUUGAGAUAUUUGAACCUGGCCUACAAUGGAAAUAUAAAGAGACUUCCAAAUUCCAUUUGCAAUUUGCAGAGUUUGGAAAUACUUGACCUCGGUGGAUGUACGAGAAUUGAAGAGUUACCAAAAGACAUAAGGUACCUGAUUAGCCUUAGAAAAUUAAUGGUAACAACAAAACAGACACGUUUGCAAGAGAAUGGUAUAUGUUGCCUAAGUACUCUUCGGAUUUUGGCCUUCUUUGAAUGUGAAAAUUUAGAAAAGUUGUGUGAAGACAUUCAAAACCUAACAGCCCUCCGAGAAUUGUACAUCGAAGAAUGCAACAACUUGGUUUCAUUGCCACAAGGUUUAAAAUACCUAACUACAUUAGAAAAUUUGGCAAUUGUAAAUUGUGAAAAGCUUGAUCUCACUAUGGAGGAGUUGGAACUUGAGAGGAAAGAAGAUGGUAGCCUUCGAAAAUUGUGGAUUGGAGGAGUGCCAAAGCUGGAGUCACUACCCCAAUGGAUCCUUCUAGGAUCCACCAAAACUUUGCAGCACUUGUAUAUUGGAGAAUUGGAGAAUGUCUCGAGGUUACCAACGUGGUUCCAAGAUCUCACAUCCCUUCAAAGUCUAUACAUUAAAAAUUGCCCAAAGCUGUCGUCUCUGGCAGAAGGGAUGCAACACCUCACUGCACUCAAAAGACUAAUGAUUGGAGGGUGUCCAAAAUUAAGCAAAAGAUGCAUUGAAGAAACCGGUGAAGACUGGCCUAAGAUUGCUCAUGUCGUUGACAUUAUUGUGGAGUCAUGAAGGCCUCAAUAACAUAUGAUGAAAACAUAAUGUAAGUCACCAAACACUAAUCUAUUUGAUACAUAUAUCUUAUUAACUUUUUAAAUGUUAAUAUUUCUAAAUUAAAUUAGGCUCCAAAUACUACUUUAUUUCUCAUUAAGAUAAUUGAAUUUUAUCUACUCUAAAGCAAAUAAAACUUCACUCAUAAUUAGUAUUAAAAUUUUACUCAAAAUGUUAGUAAAAAUAUUAUCUAGAACUUCAAAAAUUACAUUUCUUAAAAGGAAAAUUGUAUAAUACUUCAACUUGAUGUUCUGGUAGAGUUUUUCUAACAGAACUUGUAUAUCUAUUAAAAUGGCAGGUCAAAUUUGAUGAUGUUGAAGAUAUUAAAAAGACAAUGAAAUGGUAAGAGUUUGAAUUGUUGGUUCCAAUGUAUGCAUGUUUGUAAUUUGAUUUGUACCAAAGAAAAUGAUGUAAUAAUUUGAUUUUUUAUGUAAGUUUUGUUGCUACUAAAAAGUGUUUAUAGGCUCGGCCAACAACCAUAUUUUCCUAUUCAUGGUAUGCCUUUUUUUUUAUCAACACAAAAGGGAGAUAGCAUUAUGAAUAUCGAGAAAGGAUUGUAUGAAAUUGUAAUUUUAUAUUAUCCCUAUCCCUUUUUAAUAGAAGAAUGACAAAUCAGAUUUUUUUCUCCUGAUUUUUAAUAUUUUUUUGUUGAAUUUGAAUUUUGUCAGGAGGAAAAAACUAAAAAUUAAGAGAAAAUUUUAAUUUGCCAUUCUUCUAUUGGAAAGGAAUAGGGAUGAUAUGAAAUCACAGUUUCAUACAAUCAUUUCUCUAUGAAUAUCAUUCUAGAUAUUAAAUAAAUGUUAAAAUGUUUUUAUUUUGAAAAAAAAUUGAAUAUUUUUUUUAUCUAGAGCUUGAACCUCUAUGACUAUUAAAAGAAAUAAAGAAAAUACAAAUUUGAGAUUGAUAUGAGUUCGAAUAUGACAUGCAUGUAAAUUUACACGUUUAAUUUUUAGUUAGUUUUUCAAUAAUUUAUUUUGAUUAUUGUUACCUUUCAUUGAAAAUGAUAACUUUCCUUAGUUUUAAAAUAAUAUACAAAUUUGAAAUUAUAUAUACUAUAAUGUUAAUUUGAAAAAAUUUAAAAAAAAGAAGAAAGUAAAACAACAUGCAACAAUUAUAAUAAUUAUUAUUAAUAAAUAGGAAAGUUAUUUAAACUAAAUUAAUAAACAUAUUUAAUAAUAGUGAUUAAAAAAUAAUUGUUAAAAUUUGAUUUUUUUUUCAAAACAAAACUACAAAAAUUUUUUUUUGCCUAAACCAAACAAAUGACAUAUAAAUAAAAAAAGAAAUAGUUUGAAGAGAGCUUAUUUCACACAAUCGAAAUAUAACCUCCCUAGCUCGGCCUAGACAUUAAGUCCGAAUUUAGAAGCUUACAUUGGCCAUCGAAAUGAUCCAGUAAGCUAUCGGAAUUUAUAAAACAAUCAUUUUAAAACGUUUGUUUAUCUUAGAAGAAACUUAUUCUAUUUUCAGAAAAAACUCACAAAUUAACAAAAAAAAAAAAAGAUUAAGUAAAACAUUUUCCUUGUAACGGUGGCUACUUUUGAAAACUUAGUUAAUUUCUAAUUUAUUGAUUCUUCUAAAAUUUAUUUAUAAUCUAAUAACGGAGAAGUGAUAUUCAACUUAGUUUUAAUUAAGAAAAAUGAGGAUUUAUUUUGUGCAUAUUUAAUUCUCAAUCCAUGUUCAGUAUCCUGAAUUCAAAUCAAAUAAUAUGCAUGCUAAAUAAACCCAAAACCGAAGUUUAAUGCCACAGUUCAAAUAAAGUGAUUUAGUUCCUAAAUAAUAGAAAUUUCAUAUGAAAAGUCUAAAAUACUUUCUAAAUAAAAGAUCAAAACAAUUUUGGGCCCUCCGAGUGCUGCACUCGCGUCCUAACCUGGUGGGUUAUCUGUAAGGAUGAAUAUAAAUAGGGUGAGCUUAAGAAGCUCAAUAUACGCCCAAUCACAAGAAAAUCAAUGGGGAACACAUAUCUUAGGAUAAAUACAAGAUAACAAUUCUUAGGAUAAAUACAUUCGUAUAGCAAAUCACAAUUUCACAAUUUCACAAUAUUGGUUUACCAGAAUAACACAUCACUAUAAUGCUUUAGAAUUUAUAAUUUUAUCUGCACAUGCUUAUGAAUGACAACGCAAUUUUAGUUUAUAAAAAAAGGUCCUACCCUAUUGCUACACACUAAACUAUGACUUCCACAGAACUCAUCCAACCUUUUAACUCCGAGUUAUGGAUUAACACUGCUAGUUUGCAGAUAAACUGUCACAUGUUGUAUAUACACAACAUAAUUGCAGAUAGAAGCUACCACUUGGUUUGUAAAAAUUGUAGGUAAACCGCCAAUAUUUUUAGAUAAAAACAUUUGAAGACAAAUUGCCACUUGAUUUGUGAUCGAACCACAUAUUUGCAGUUACUACCAUUUGUUGUGGGUGCACAACAUAUUUGCAGAUUAAAAAAAAAUUGCCACUUGGUUCAUGAACAAACCACAUUGUUUGCAGAUUAUUAAAUUGUCAUUCUUCCUUCAUACAUAUCAUCUCACCCUAUACAAUUCAGUUUGACAUUCUUUGAAAUAGAAUAAAUCAACGCUAGCAGUAACCAUGCUUAACAUGCAUUCGGUUCAUUACUAGCAAUUAACAUGCUUUACGUGUAUUCAAUUCAACACAAGCAGGAAACAUGUUUUAACAGGUAUUCAAUAGGGCGGUGACAAUAUUAACACUAAUAGUUUAUUUGUAACACCCCUUACCCGAGACCGUUUCCGGGGUCGAGCACGAGGCAUUACUUAGCUUAUCUUACUAAUUCGGAGCAUAAAAACUUGGUUUGAAAAUUUAUUUCACUAUUUACAGCAAUCUGUCUAAUCGCGCAGUAGUUACUAAAUUAAUUAUAACUUGAGAUACAGAACUCAAAAUUUAACUCUGUAAAAUUUUCCUAAAACUAGACUCAUAUAUCUACAUACCAUAAAAUUUUUAGAAUUUUUGGUUCAGCCAAUUAGUACAGUUUAUUAGUUAAAGUCUCCCCUGUUUCACCAUUUGACUGUUCUGACCUCUUGUUACUAAAAAUAACUUUUCUCAUUAUAGGAUUUUCAUAUGCUGUUCCCACUUGUUCCUACAGAAAAUAGACUCAUUAAGGAAUCUAAGCAUGUAAAUUUCAACUCAUAACCAUUUUUUUAUAAUUUUUAAUUAUUUUCUAAACCCAGAACAGGGGACUCCAAAAACAGUUCUGACCCUAUCUUACUAAAAUUCACUUAUCUUAAAAUAUAAAUUUCCUUUUGCUACACUAUUAUUUUUCCAUGAAAAUAGACUCAUUAAUAUUUAAUUCCAUAUAUCAUAAACCCUCUAAUUCAUUUUAUACCAUCCUAGGUGAUUUUUCAAAGUCACGUCACAGUGCUGCCUGAAUUCUGUUUCUUUGCAAAAUUUUACCCUUUUAUGAUUUCCAUGCAUAGUUUAUCACCUAAACUUUUAUAACAACAAACACUUCCAUACUUAACCAUUUUAGCAACCAUUCAUCAUCAAAUACUUACACAUCAUUCUUUAGCAAGAUCAUAAAUACAAACAUUUAGAAUAACUAAAUCCCUAUACAUGCCAUACUCAACACGGUUCAACAUAAAAAUACCGAGUUGCUGUGGUUGAUAGUGUGGACGAUCUCCGACUUCUUUAGGAUCCUUGAAGUAGCCUUGUAAUACUAUAAGAGAAAGAGAAAUAAAAGAUGUAAGCAUAAAGCUUAGUAAGUUUACUAGCAAAUAAAUAACAAUAUUUAACUCAAAUAGUUAAACUCAAAUGUCUAUAUCUCUAGUGUACUCUUUAGUUAAUCUCAUACUAGUUCUCUUGCUUGUUUACUUAACAUACUUGUGUGCAUAACUUACUCUUCUCUUGUUGCAUCGUUGAAUAUAAAUUGUUAAUAUAAUAAAUUCUUAACUCUUAUAACUCACCUGAGCUUGCCAUUUCUUAUCUUUAACUGAACUUUCAUGUACCUCAUUCGUUUACUAGCCCAUUGAACCACAUUGGAAUAAUAAGGAUACUCGGGUCUCUUCUGAUAAUAACAUGCCAAACCAUGUCCCAGACAUGAUCUUACAUGGGAUGUUCUCAUGUUGGUGCCCAUGCCAUGUCCCAGACAUGGUCUUAUAGGGGACCUCUCAUCUCGGUGCCAACGCCAUGUCCCAGACAUGGUCUUACAUGGGACCUCUCGUCUCGGUGCCCAUGCCAUGUCCCAGACAUGGUCUUACAGGGGACCUCUCAUGAUCUUAAGGAUGCCAACGCCAUGUCCCAGACAUGGUCUUACAUGGGAUCUCUUUACCCAAAUGUCAUGACAUUCGUAUCCAGUACCAUCCUUAUGUAUCAACGGGGCUUUUUAACUUCAAUUCUCUAUCAUUUCAUGCUUGGAUCAUCAUCAAAUAAAUUCAUAAAAUAAAUUCAUAAUUUCUGGAAAAUAACAGCAUUAAUAAUAAAUAUUGAAAUAUUGCAUUUAUUUACCGUAAACUUACCUCGGUACCAAUUAUAGCCAAAUUCACCAACUUAGUCUUCAACUUUAUUCUUCCCUUUGUCUAACCUCGAGUUUCGUUCUUCUUGAUCUAAAAUAGUAAAUUUAACUUAUUUAAUACUCACAUUCAUCAAAACAGCCCUCGACUCUAACUUUUUCAAAAUUACAAUUUUGCCCCUAAACUUUUACAUAAUUACAUUUUUGCCCCAAGGCUCGGAAAUUAAACUUCAUCUCUUAUUCUUAUGUUUUAUAACAUGCUGAACAUUUUUCCCUUAUAUGGAAACAUCAAAUUCCCACUCUAACAUGUACUUAUGAACAUUAGGUAUUUUUACCGAUUAUGUUGUUUUACUCGUUUUCACUUAAAAUCGCUUAGCAAAAGUUAUUUAACAUAAUUUCUAGCUUCAUAUUCUAUCAUAAAACUCAAAAUAGACACUUUUUACCUAUGGGUAUUUUUCCAAAUAUAAACCCUAGGUUAAAUUAUUGCUAGAAUAAGCUAAAUUAAGCUACCGGGAUCUAAAAAACGUAAAGAACAUUAAAAACGGGGCUUGGGAUCACUUACUAUGGAGCUUGGAAGCUUGAAAACCCUAACUAUGGCUUCCCCCCUUGCUAAUUUCGUUCAUAGGAAGAAGAUGAGCAUAAUUUUCCAUCUUUUUCCCUUUUAAUUCAUUUUAAUUACUAGAUUACCAAAUUGCCCCUAACUUAAAAAUUUUCUAUUUCACUUAUCUCAUGUCCAUUUUUGUCUACCAAGUUACCAAUGGUCUAAUUGCCAUAUAAGGACCUCCAAUUUAAAGUUUCAUAACAUUAUUAAUUUUUCACAAUGAUAGUAGCAUGUACUAUACACUUCACAUACGAUAUAGACAUAACACUUCAAUCAUUAAAUCACAAAUGCCAGAAAAACACAAUAUCAAUGACUUAAUUGAACAUAUAAAAACUCUAAAAAUAAUUCAGGGCAUAUAUAGGGACUAAAUUGAACAUAAUGUAAAUUUUUGGGAAAAACUAUAAAAUAGGGGUCAUAUGGCCGUGUGAGACGUUAUAGGUCGUGUGGAAGGGUUACACAGCCAUGUUGCUAGGCCGUGUAACAGGCUGUAGUCGUGUGUCAAAAGUUAAAAUUACCCCAUAGGAAGGACAAUACCGUGUAGUUCACGAACUGCGCUAGGGUUUUUAAUGUACAUGGUCAUAAUUCCAAGAGCAUUAUAUAUAUGUUGUGCUUGUUAUAGCCCGAAUAUUACUCUUAAUGAUAUGACUCAUUCUUGCAUGAGAUCUAUUUCAUUUUUUGGAAUUCUUCAACGCAUAUAUUCAUUAUUUUCGGGUUCUACAAAAAGAUGGAAAAUUUUGCUUGACAAUGUCCUUGAAUUAAUUGUGAAAUUUUUAUUUAUUACAUGUUGGGAGAGUCAAAUUAAAAGGGUUAAAGCUAUUAGAUUUCAAACUCCCCAAAUAAGUUUGGUUUUGUUUGAAUUAUAUGAAUCUUGUGAUGAUGCAAAGUCAAAGAGUGAAGUGGAGAGUUUGGUCAAUGCAUUUGGGAGUUUUGAGUUUUUGCUUGAUAUGGUAAUUUGAUAUGAAAUUUUAUUUGUUAUAAAUAUGGUGUACAAGAAAUUGCAAUCUAAGUCUAUGUGCACCGACACCAUCAUAAAGCAAUUAGAAGGUGUAUUGUCAUAUUUUGAAAAGUAUAGAGAUGAAGACUUUAUUUCUAGUAUGAAUAUUGCUAAAAGUAUUGCACUUGAUAUGGAUGUAGAGCCUACCCUUCCAACAAAGCAUUGUGUUAUUAGAAAAAAAAAUGAUGAGAAUAACCAAGAGGAUGAAGAAAUUCGAUCGGCUAAUGAAUUAUUUAGAGUUGAUUAUAUUUUAGUUAUUGAAGAGCAUAUUUGAGCAACUAAAAACAUUUGAAAAUAUUUUGGGGGGUUUUUAUUUGAUUCAAACAAGUUAAAGUCAUUGGAUGGAAAUGAAUUGAGAGAAUAUUGUGCUACUUUUCACUCUACCUUUUCUCAUGGUAAUUCAUCAGGUAUUGAUUUAAAUUAUCUUUUCUCUGAAUUGAAAGCGUUGCAAUUUACUUUACCGAAUGAAUUAAUGUCAACCACUAAAAUUCUUGAGUUUGUCAAAUCUAUAAAUUGCUAUCCGAAUGUUUCAAUUACUUAUAGAAUUUUUUUAACGGUCCUUGUGACUAUGGCAUCAAUGUCACAAGAACGAUUGAAUGGUUUGGCAAUUUUAUCAAUCGAGAAUGAUUUUUUUAGAAAAUAUUGAUGUUGAUGUUAUCAUUAAUGAUUUUGCAUCUAGGAAUGCUCGUAAAACCCCUUUUCUAUAAUUUUUGGAUUUUUGUAGUUGAUUACAUACGAGUAGAUUGAAUGAAAAAUAUAUAUUUUUAAAUUUUAUUAGAAAAUAUAUUGUUUGCUUAAUGUAAUAAAAUGUAUUAUUUUAAUGAAAUUACUAGUAUAUAUUUUUAUUUUAUUUUAUUUUUUUAAAAAUGGAUCCCAAUUUAUUGUUUCACCAUGAAUCCCAAAAAUAUCAAAAACGAAUCUGGAAAUUAUGAUUUAGAUCAAAAGUAUUAUUUCAACAAGUGAAGGCUUCAAAGGAAUACUUUCAAUCAAAUAUCUCAAAUUCGAAAAUAUAGAACUAGUUUAAAUUGGUAGAAUUAGCCACAGAAUAAAAGAUAGGACCACUAAUGUUCAAACAAACCAUUUUCAGACACAUCAAACUAUUCAAGUUUAAACACGUUUAUUGCUUUGCAAGUCAAGGUCUUCCUUCUAUCUUUUGGAGCCCAGUUACCCACCCGGAAACCAUUGCUGUCUUCGUCCUGAAUUUCUCCAUUAAGACCAUUCCACAAAACACCCUCAAAAAAGGUGGUGGGUCAGAUUAAAUUCCAAAGGUGCAUGUCUUUCUAACUUUUCUAGGCUUUUGCAUUGGGGUUAUACCACUUCCUUGGCAUCUAAUACCUUGGUAUUCGAAAAUUAUUACUUUGAUUCAUACCAGAAACAAUUACCAUGGCUGAAUCCUUUGCAUUCGAGAUCGCCGGAAAAGUAUUGGAGAAACUAGGGAGUGCUGCCUAUGAAAGAAUUAACUUGGCAUGGGGUGUUCGAGAGGAGUUUGAAAAGCUUAAGCUGACCCUAGCUGCUAUCAGAGCUGUGGUCCUGGAUGCUGAACAACAACAGGCUCGUACCCAGGAGCUCAGUCUUUGGCUACAAAGGUUCAAAGAUGCUUGCUACAACGUGGAAGAUUUGAUAGACGAGUUCGAGAUCCAAGCGUUGAGGAAGCUAGUCCUGGAACGGGGAAGCACUGGAAGGAAGGUACGCCAUUUCUUUUCUGGCUCUAAUCCUUGGGCAUUUAGCUUUAGGAUGGGCUAUAAGAUCAAAAAGGCUAACGAGAUGUUGAAUAAGAUUGCAGCUGAAAAGGCCAAGUUUCAUCUGACUGAAAAACAUGAAACUAAUGUCAUACAUCGUGAGAGGGAAACCUACUCCUUUGUUAAGACAUCUAGUGUCAUCGGUCGAGAUGAAGCUAAACAACACCUAGUUAACUUCUUAAUGAAUCCAACUGAUGGGGAAGAUCUCCCUGUCCUUCCCAUAGUUGGGAUCGGAGGUAUUGGGAAAACUACCCUGGCCCAAUUGGUGUUUAACGAGGAGAGUGUGAAGUCGCAUUUUGAAUUGAGAAUCUGGGUGUGUGUUACAGAGGAUUUUGACAUGAAACAACUGAUGAUAAAAAUCAUUAAAUCUGCCACUGGUAUGAACUGCAAGGACAUGAAUAAGGAGGAAUUACAUAAAGUUUUGCAAGAUUGUUUGAAUGGUAAAAGAUUUUUUAUGGUACUAGAUGAUGUCUGGAACGAGGACAAGAAGAAAUGGAGUGAGCUGAAAGAUUUGUUGUGUGGGGGAGCCCAAGGGAGUAGAAUCAUUGUCACAACUCGUAGCCGCAAAGUGGCUACAAUCACAGGCACAAUCCCUCCAUACGAUUUAGAGCAUCUUUCUUACGACAGUUGUCUAUCAUUGUUUCUUAAACUUGCAUUUAAAGAAGGUGAAGAGAAACAACAUGACAAUCUUGUAAGAAUCGGGGAAGGAAUUGUUCAAAAAUGCAAAGGGGUUGCUUUGGCCGUGAAGACUUUAGGCAGCCUACUCUGUUCAACUAGGGUACAACAUGAUUGGGAACUUGUGAGAGAUAGUGAGCUAUGGAAGUUGAAGCAGGAGGAAAAUGACAUCUUGCCUGCUCUAAAACUAAGUUAUGAUCAUUUGCCCUGGUAUUUAAAGCAAUGUUUCGCCUUUUGUUCAGUUUUUCCAAAAGAUUUUGAAUUCAAUCCUCUCUAUUUGAUCCCGUUGUGGAUGGCAAAUGGCUUUUUGCAAUCACCAUACGAAAAUGAAGAGCCAGAAGAUAUUGGGAAUCGGUAUAUACAAGAGUUACUAUCAAGAUCUUUCUUCCAACAAGUUGAAGAUAAGUUUUUAACUUUCACCUUCAAAAUGCAUGAUCUAGUACAUGAUCUUGCAUUAUCAGUAGUGCAAAAUGAGGUGAAUUCAUGUAACCAUUAUUCAACUGGGAAUGUUCGACAUUUAUUGUUUGAUCUAUUGAAGCAAGAUGGUUCGCAGUUACCGAAUAACUUGAGCUGUCUGCAAUCACUUUUCUUAUUAGAUGAAGAAGGCAAGGCUGAUAGCGAAUCUCUUAUUGCCAAAGUCAUCUCAAGGUCUAAACAUUUGAGGGUGCUACAUAUGUCUGGCUGCAGUUUUGAGCAUUUGCCAAACAAUAUACGUUAUUUAAAGCAGUUGAGAUAUUUGAACCUGGCCUACAAUGGAAAUAUAAAGAGACUUCCAAAUUCCAUUUGCAAUUUGCAGAGUUUGGAAAUACUUGACCUCGGUGGAUGUACGAGAAUUGAAGAGUUACCAAAAGACAUAAGGUACCUGAUUAGCCUUAGAAAAUUAAUGGUAACAACAAAACAGACACGUUUGCAAGAGAAUGGUAUAUGUUGCCUAAGUACUCUUCGGAUUUUGGCCUUCUUUGAAUGUGAAAAUUUAGAAAAGUUGUGUGAAGACAUUCAAAACCUAACAGCCCUCCGAGAAUUGUACAUCGAAGAAUGCAACAACUUGGUUUCAUUGCCACAAGGUUUAAAAUACCUAACUACAUUAGAAAAUUUGGCAAUUGUAAAUUGUGAAAAGCUUGAUCUCACUAUGGAGGAGUUGGAACUUGAGAGGAAAGAAGAUGGUAGCCUUCGAAAAUUGUGGAUUGGAGGAGUGCCAAAGCUGGAGUCACUACCCCAAUGGAUCCUUCUAGGAUCCACCAAAACUUUGCAGCACUUGUAUAUUGGAGAAUUGGAGAAUGUCUCGAGGUUACCAACGUGGUUCCAAGAUCUCACAUCCCUUCAAAGUCUAUACAUUAAAAAUUGCCCAAAGCUGUCGUCUCUGGCAGAAGGGAUGCAACACCUCACUGCACUCAAAAGACUAAUGAUUGGAGGGUGUCCAAAAUUAAGCAAAAGAUGCAUUGAAGAAACCGGUGAAGACUGGCCUAAGAUUGCUCAUGUCGUUGACAUUAUUGUGGAGUCAUGAAGGCCUCAAUAACAUAUGAUGAAAACAUAAUGUAAGUCACCAAACACUAAUCUAUUUGAUACAUAUAUCUUAUUAACUUUUUAAAUGUUAAUAUUUCUAAAUUAAAUUAGGCUCCAAAUACUACUUUAUUUCUCAUUAAGAUAAUUGAAUUUUAUCUACUCUAAAGCAAAUAAAACUUCACUCAUAAUUAGUAUUAAAAUUUUACUCAAAAUGUUAGUAAAAAUAUUAUCAGUUAGAACUUGAGAAGAAAGAAGAUGGUAGCCUUCGGAAUUUGUGGAUUGGAGGAGUGUCAAAGCUGGAGUCACUACCCCAAUGGAUUCUUCUAGGAUCAACCAAAACUUUGCAGCGCUUGUACAUCGGUAACUUGGAGAAUGUCUCGACGUUACCAAUGUGGUUCCAACAUCUCACAUCCCUUCAAAGUCUUAACAUUAUAAAUUGCUCAAAGUUGUUGUCUCUACCAGAAGGGAUGCAACACCUCACUGCAAUCAAAAAAUUAAGGAUCGAAGGGUGUCCAAAAUUAAGUAAAAGAUGCAUUGAAGAAAGUGAAGACUGCCUAAGAUUGCUCAUGUCCCUAAGAUUUUUGGAAGAAACAGAUGAUAUAAGGUAAGUCAUCGAACACUACUCUAUUUUAUAUAUAUCUUAUUAGCUUUUAAAUUUAAUAUUUCUAAAUUAAAUUAUGUACCAAAUAUUACUCUAUUUUUCAUUACCAUAAUUGAAUUUUAUUUACUCGAAAGCAAAUAAAUCUUCAUUUAAAAAAUUGGCAUUACAAAUUUACUUAAAAUAUUACUUCCAAUUUACAUCUCAUCCUUUUAAAUGAUAAAAGUUGAAGAAAAAAUAGUACAACGCCUCAAUUUAAUGUUAUGGUAGAGUUUUUCUAACUGAACUUUUGUAUCUUUUAAGGUGGAUCAAUUAGGACUGAAAUAUAGCAUCCGGUCGAGCUCUUCUUUAGUGCCAAUGUUGAAGUUGGCCUCCAUGCAAACAAAGAAGCAAGGAAGCUGUCCGAGCCUUGCAGGUGCAGCUGAAGCUCAUGCUGCUGUUGUGUUUCAUUUUGUUUUUUGUUACUUCAAUUGAUGUUUUGUAACUUAGUUAGAUAUGAACUAAGUUGUUAAUGUACUUGAUGUAAUUUGUUGAUGUUUGAGCUGAUAAAUCAGCUUUACCAAGUGUGCAAGUUUUGGUUAAAAAUCAUUAAAUCUGCCACCGGCAGAGAGUGCAAGGACAUGAAUAAGGAGGAAUUACAUAAAGUUUUACAAGAUUGUUUGAAUGCUAAAAGAAUUUUUAUGGUCCUGGAUAAUGUCUGGAACGAGGACAAGAAGAAAUGGAGUGAGCUGAAAGAUUUGUUGUGUGGGGGAGCCCAAGGGAGUAGAAUCAUUGUCACAACUCGUAGCCGCAAAGUGGCUACAAUCACAGGCACAAUCCCUCCAUACGAUUUAGAGCAUCUUUCUUAUGACGAUUGUCUAUCAUUGUUUCUUAAACUAUUACAACCUACAUACCUGGUUUUUUUUAAAGAAAAACAUCCAGCUUCCCAAAUUCUUUUCAGCACCUUCACAAAAUGUUAGCCCACAAUUAUUUACCCCCCACAGCUUACAUGAUAAGCUGUACCACCAUCAACACGUUGGAACUCGAUGUCUACCUUUUCCGCUUGGACUUCAAGGAGGUGACCGACUGGGAAUUGCUGUGCCAAUUGCGCUUCCUUUGGUUGAUGAACCAGUUGUUGAUUUGCUUUAGUUGCAAUCCAGUUUCCUCCACAAGUUUGGCCUUGUCAUCUUCCUGCAUUUUGUCAACUCAUUAAUUUAUUCAAGGGUUUAUGUUUUGGCAAAAAUAUAUAUAUAUAUUUAAUUGGAAGUUGAUGUUUAGUUGGUUACAGUUGGGUAUGGCCACUUUGAAUAGUCAAUCUGUUUUUUUAGUUCCAACAGGCAAGAUAAUAAUUAUGAAUUGUCAUUGACUCCUCCAACUUGGGUCGAAAAAACAAUGCGACUUGAUAAUUAUCAAAUUGACCGUAAUCUUCUUUUGUCCUUAGGAGUCCAUCACAAUCUUAAAUGCUUUCUUAUAUAUGUUAAAAUUAGUUUUUGAAUUGUUUGGUUUCCAAUGUUUAUUGGUAAUCUGAUUUUGUAUUAGAGACAAUGAUGUAAUAAUUUGAUUUUUUUAUGUGUACGAGUGUAAUCAUCUCUAAUUUGCUAUGACUAAAAGGAAAGUUCAAAGGUUUUAAUUUAGGUUAAAAUAUGGCUAACUGCUUCUAAUACCCGUAAACUAUAUUAUGGUUGAGCUUUAUUUGCAAUGGGUGUUUAAUCAUGGACUUAAAAGUUCAAAGUUCAAAGGAGAGGAUUUAUUAAACCAAAACAGGUUUUUAGCGGCAUUUUUUAGAAGCGUCGCUAAUGCUCGAGUCUUUAGCGGUGCUUUGUCAAAAAUGCCGCUAAAGCUCAGGUCUUUAACGGCGCUUUUUCAAAAACGCUGCUAAUGCUCGUGUCUUUAGCGGCGCUAAUCCCAAAUUGAUCCUCCAUGCCAAAAUGAGCGGAAAUGAGUUUAAAAGAUGUCCAAAACAUUAACAUUUAAACAUUUGUUAAGAAUUUUUCUUUUGUUUUCAAUAUAAAUGGCUUAAAAAAUGAAAAAAAGUCUUAAACUUUGUUUGAUUAAAAAUUUUUGUAUAUAAAAAGGAACAUCUUUAAAUUUAUGUGGAUGGUUUUUAUUUAGUUUCAUUAAUAUGGGGAGAUUAAAGAUUGGUGGAGAUUUUACCUAACAAAUUAUUAUAGAAAGAGAGAAUAUGGAUUUAACUCCUUUUGAGAAUCCAUUCCCCAAUGAGUUGUAUGGUGUAUCAAUUACGCAUGUAUGAAUAUAUUUUCCUUCCACCAUGUGCUGCCACGAAACUUAGAGCCAAUAUUGUGGAUUCCCGGAGAAUUAGAAGAUAAAAGAAAACCUAUGGGAGAUUCCUGUAAGGGUUACUGGUUUAAGAUUGGUUUUGGAUUUUGCAGGAAAGAUAUGCUGCAUCAAUUACACAUGUGGAUUUAAUACAAGUUGGAUCAUUUUCCUCAUCAGCUAACAUUUUCUUAUGCUAGUUUAGAUCCAAAUCCACACACCCAAUUUUGAUUUGCGCUUCCAUCAAACUAAUUCUUUUUACUGUAAAAAACAUAUUAUUUCAGUAAUAAAUGUUGAAUCAACCUUAUUUUAAUAAUAAAUUAUUUUAUUCCUUUUACUAUAGUAUUUUUUUCCCAUCAUGUUGAUUUAGGUAUAGUUUGGAUAGACAUUGCAUUUACUUGUGUUUAGUAUAAAAACAACAGUGACGAUAAAAUUAGAUAAAAGUGAACUAAUUGCACCGCACUAGCCAUCCAAAUCCAAGUAUCAUACUCUUCUUUUAGUUUUUUUUAAACCCUAAAUAAGAAAGACAACCUCAUUUAGCGAAGUCAUUAACCCCUUUCUUAAAUUUCCAUAAUAAAACUCGUACCCUAUUCAAAAACCCUAUUUUAACAAAAUUCAACUAUCUUUGAAUUAUUCGUAACUCUAUAUUUGUAAUACAGACAUGGUGAUCAGUUAGACCUUUAAUUACUUAACAUACUUUUUUUUUAUUGACUCCUUUAAUUUUAAUUUAAUAAUUUUAUAAUUUAAUCUAAAGAGGUCAAAUUCGAAUUAUUGUUUUGAUAUAAUUUUUAAUUUAACAAGAGCUAAAUCAUACUUUAUAGGAUUUGAACCUUGGACGAUAGGUUUUGAAGACCCACAUGCUACCGAACUAAACUAAUAUCACUUUCUUAUCAUAAUAAAUAAAAUUGUAAAAAAAAUCCUUUUAUUUUAUAACCCUAAUACAAUACAUUGUAUGUUGUAUAUAUAUAAUAUGAGAAAAUGAUAGAUUGAGCAAAAUUGCAUCAUAGGUUGUGUUCAAAAUUCAAAUUCUUUUUGGUUUAGAGGGUUUUAUGUUUGGUUAGUGAUAAGUUUUUUCUUUCGCAUGUGAUUUAUCUUUUCGAUACGUAGGGUGAAGGAUUUAAAUUGUGGAAUGGUUGGUUUAUAUAAGCAGCUUAAGGUAAGAAAAGAAAAGCAAGAUAAAAUUUGAAAGAUGAUCCCAUUGUUGACUGAUUCAUUUACUGCGAGCUUCUCCCUCGAAUUGUAGCGACACUGAUGUACAAAAUAUUUCAAAGAUGUACAAAUUUUUCGAGCUUAAAAACUACAUUGAGUGUAUUUUCAUAGGAGUUCAGUUGAUUUAAAAACUACAUUAAAUGGUUUAGGAUUUAAGGUUUACUUCAGAUUUAUUAAAUGAUGAAAUUUUAUACAAUAAAUUUAUACUUUUAUAUUUAAAAAUAUUUAAUCUAAAACAUUCGAUAUAUUUAAAUAUUAGAUUUAAAAAAAUUGAUAAAUAAAUAAAGUCACUUAACUAAUAAUUUUUAGUAGAUAAAAUAAAAAAAAUUUAACAGAACAAAACGACGUUAUUUUAUUCAAAAUAAAAUAAUUUUUGCGGUAUUUUUACAAAAAACGCCGCAAUAGAUAAGUAAUAAUGGCGUUUUUUGUAAAAACGUCACAAAAUUUAUUUUACCUAGAUAAAAAAUUGGCGCUGCUUUUUCCCAAAUUUCCCCCCUAAAACCCCUAACUUUGCAAACAAAAUGAAAAAAAGAAGAGGAAAAUGGAGGUACCAAAGACGAUUCAGCACAAAACCUCUCCAAUCUACUUACGAGUUCUACCGUUUGUUUCCCUGAAAAAUAUAUGAGACUUAAUAUUUUCUGUUCCAUUUUUCCUCUUUAUUUUCUAAUUUUGGGUAUUAUUUACUCAGAUCCCCUUUCUUUUUAUUAUUGUUUUUUUUCUCUUAUAUUUUAGCUAGAAAUCGAUGAUGCAAGUUACUGUUGGUCUCAUUGCUGCUGGUAACAAGUUAUUGCUUAAAAUUCAUGGUAACAAAUCUACUUCAAAGGAAGUUAUUCAUAUUCCUUCGUAUCGAAGCGAAGUCAUUUACGGUGGUACUUGGUUCUCCAGCUCUCGUAAGUUUGUUCCCAGUUUUGUAUUUGCCAUCUAUACCAGGUUUACCUCUCUUACUUCUCUUCGUCUUCAUCUCCCUUUCAUUUAUUCGAUAUAAUGCUUCUUUAUACAAUUUGUUUCUGGUUUUCAGGGGGUGUUGUCUGUAAGAUGUUGAAGCAAGCGAUAUGGAAGGUGUUGAGCAAAAGGGUAGUUUCAGAUUCGGGUGAUAAACUUCUUUUGCCUUGUUUGUACUUGCCCACGCUAAAAAACGCCGCCAAAAGCUUAAAAAAGUGCCGCUAAAAGCCUUUUUUGGUGUAGUGAUUCUUUUACGGGCAGAAAAAAAGAAUCCCUCAUGCUUAGGGCUAAGAUUGGAAGGACCAAAUCUGAAUACAAGCAACACCUAAGUUUACAAUUAGAUAAAUGCAUUAAAAAGGUUUACUUAAAAAUGUUGUUAAAUUUUGGGUUCAAAUUAAAUAAAAGAAUGAAAUGGACUAAAAAUUUCUCAUGUUUUAGCAUCUUCACUUUAGGUAACUCUCUUAGAGGAGGGAAAUUUUGUUUAGGGUACAUAUUGUUUAAUAAUAGACAUCAAAAGUGAACUAUAAAAUUUUUCUCAGAUAUUUUCUAGGUAAUGUGUCCUUAUUUAUUUUAUAUGAUUAAAAAGUUAACAAAAUCUAGAUUCUUGUGCUCUAAGUGAUUCUCGAUUUAAUGUUUUAAUAAUAUUCAUUUAUAUAGAUUAAUAGUAGAACUAUGCUUUUAACAAGUUCAGAUUAUACUUGUUGAGCAAGAGUCGCUCAUUCUUUUAUCCCCUUUUUCCUUUCAAAUAUACAGUGGAGAAGUUUGGUAUUUUAGAAGUUGGAAUGUAAUAGUAUGUGUCGGAAAUGAUAGUUUCAGAACCUCAUUUCCAAUGAUCAAGUUCGUAAAUAUUAUUAUUUAAUAUUUAUGAGGUUAGUAUAGAGGUUAAUUGGAAAUUAGUCUUUCAAUUUUGUCAAUCGAAUAGUUAAUUAAAGUAUAAGGAUUAAAUUCUAAAAGUAAUAAAAGUUAAUCGUUAUAAAUUUUUAGUUAACCGAAUGACCAAUUAAACAAUUGGGUAUUUUUAAAUGAUUUAAAUAAUUAAAUAUAAAUUCUUAUGAUCAUAAAAAAGCAAUUCAAAAAUAAUAUUGUAACAUAAAAUAGAUAAAAAAAUUUAUAAUUUAAAUAAAUAAAUGUCAUGUUAUCUUUAUUCCAUAUAUUUAUAAAUUUGAUUGAUUUAAUUUAAUUGAAGUAAAUAUAAAAUUGAAUUAAAAUUGAAUAUAUAUUAACUAAUUAAAUUCAUAAAUUUGAUUAAUUAAAUUAAAUUAAAUAUAAAAAAUUAAAAGUGAAGGUAUAUUAAAUAUGUAUUAAUUUUUUGUCUUUGAUCCCACCCAAAUUUCAAUUAAAUAAUUUUUAAUAUAUUUUCAUUUAAAUUUAAUUAUAAAAUAUUGAUAAUAAUAUAAAAUUAAAUAUUUAUUUUUUAAUAUUUUAAAUUAUUAAAAAUCAAAUAAUGGAACAAAAUUUUUUUUUAACAAAGAUUAUACCAUUAUUUUACUAUUAGCUAAAAUGUGGUAAAUAAUAUAUUUGCUUUAUUGCAUUUCUUAAUACCAUUUAUUAUUGAAAUUUAAUUAUAGAAAUGAGACUCAUUUUAAAUAUAAUUAAAAAAUAUUUUAAGUUUAGUUUCUUCUUUUAUAUUAUAUAUACAAUAUAUUAUUUUUAUUUAUAUAAAAAAUUAAAAAUUAAUUAUUAUCUUGACAUUUUGGAUUUGUCGGCUUGUAAUUUCAAGCACCAGUCCUGAUUCCCAUAGUUGACAUUAUUUUCCAGUCUAAAGCUGCAAGAACUGCCCUCCUUGGCAUCUAAUACCGUGGUAUCCGAAAAGUAUUACUAAAAUUCAUACCAAAAACAAUUACCAUGGCUGAAUCCUUUGCAUUCGAGAUAGCCGGAAAAGUAUUGGAGAAACUAGGGAGUGCUGCCUGUGAAAGAAUUAGCUUGGCAUGGGGUGUUCGAGAGGAGUUUGAAAAGCUUAAGCUGACCCUAGCUGCUAUCAGAUCUGUAGUCUUGGAUGCUGAGCAACAACAGGUUCGUAGCCUGGAGCUCAGUCUUUGGCUACAAAGGUUCAAAGAUGCUUGCUACGACGUGGAAGAUUUGAUAGACGAGUUCGAGAUCCAAGCGUUGAGGGGGCUAGUCCUGGAACGGGGAAGCACUGGAAGGAAGGUACGCCAUUUCUUUUCUGGCUCUAAUCCUUGGGCAUUUAGCUUUAGGAUGGGCUAUAAGAUCAAAAAGGCUAACGAGAUGUUGAAUAAGAUUGCAGCUGAAAAGGCCAAGUUUCAUCUGACUGAAAAACAUGAAACUAAUGUCAUACAUCGUGAGAGGGAAACCUACUUCUUUGUUAAGACAUCUAGUGUCAUCGGUCGAGAUGAAGCUAAACAACACCUAGUUAACUUCUUAAUGAAUCCAACUGAUGGGGAAGAUAUCCCUGUCCUUCCCACAGUUGGGAUCGGAGGUAUUGGGAAAACUACCCUGGCCCAAUUGGUGUUUAACGAGGAGAGUGUGAAGUCGCAUUUUGAAUUGAGAAUCUAGGUGUUUGUUACAAAGGAUUUUGACAUUAAACAACUGAUGAUAAAAAUCAUUAAAUCUGCCACUGGUAUGAACUGCAAGGACAUGAAUAAGGAGGAAUUACAUAGAGUUUUGCAAGAUUGUUUGAAUGGUAAAAGAUUUUUUAUGGUACUAGAUGAUGUCUGGAACGAGGACAAGAAGAAAUGGAGUGAGCUGAAAGAUUUGUUGUGUGGGGGAGCCCAAGGGAGUAGAAUCAUUAUCACAACUCGUAGCCGCAAAGUGGCUACAAUCACAGGCACAAUCCCUCCAUACGAUUUAGAGCAUCUUUCUUAUGACAAUUGUCUAUCAUUGUUUCUUAAACUUGCCUUUAAAGAAGGUGAAGAGAAACAACAUGACAAUCUUGUAAGAAUCGGGGAAGGAAUUGUUCAAAAAUGCAAAGGGGUUGCUUUGGCCGUGAAGACUUUAGGCAGCCUACUCUGUUCAACUAGGGUACAACAUGAUUGGGAACUUGUGAGAGAUAGUGAGCUAUGGAAGUUGAAGCAGGAGGAAAAUGACAUCUUGCCUGCUCUAAAACUAAGUUAUGAUCAUUUGCCCUGGUAUUUAAAGCAAUGUUUCGCCUUUUGUUCAGUUUUUCCAAAAGAUUUUGAAUUCAAUCCUCCCUAUUUGAUCCCGUUGUGGAUGGCAAAUGGCUUUCUGCAAUCACCAUACGAAAAUGAAGAGCCAGAAGAUAUUGGGAAUCGGUAUGUACAAGAGUUACUAUCAAGAUCUUUCUUCCAACAAGUUGAAGAUAAGUUUUUUACUUUCACCUUCAGAAUGCAUGAUCUAGUACAUGAUCUUGCAUUAUCAGUAGUGCAAAAUGAGGAGAAUUCAUGUAACCAUUAUUCGACUGGGAAUGUUCGACAUUUAUGGUUUGAUCUAUCGAAGCAGGAUGCUUCCCAGUUGCCAAAUAACUUGGGUUGUCUGCAAUCACUUUUCUUAUUAGAUGAAAAAGGCAAGGUUGAUAACGAAUCUCUUAUUGCAGAAGUCAUCUCAAGGUCUAAACAUUUGAGGGUGUUAGAUUUGUCUGAUUGUAGUUUAGAGCAAUUGCCAAACAACACAAGUUCUUUAAAGCAGUUGAGAUUUUUGAGCAUAGGCUCCAUUGGAAAUAUUAAAAGACUUCCAAAUUCCAUUUGCAAUUUGCAGAGUUUGCAAACACUUGACUUUUCUGGAUGCAGGGGAAUUGAAGAGUUACCAAAAGACAUAAGGUACCUGAUUAGCCUUAGACAAUUAACGGUAACAACAAAACAGACGCGUUUGCAAGAGAAUGGAAUAUCGUGCCUCACUUGUCUUCGAACGUUGGUCUUUUCUGAAUGUGAAAAUUUAGAAAAAUUGUUUGAAGACAUUCAAAACCUAACAGCUCUUCGAGAAUUGUACAUAUAUGAAUGCCACAACUUGGUUUCAUUGCCACAAGGUUUAAAAUACCUACCUACAUUAGAAGUUUUGAUAAUUUUAGCUUGUGAAAAGCUUGAUCUCACUAUGGAGGAGUUGGAACUUGAGAGGGAAGAAGGACGUGGUAGCCUUAGAAAUUUGUGGAUCGAAGGAGUGCCAAAGCUGGAGUCACUACCCCAAUGGAUCCUUCUAGGAUCCACCAAAACUUUGCAGCGCUUGUGUAUUGGAGAAUUGGAGAAUGUCUCGAGGUUACCAACGUGGUUCCAAGAUCUCACAUCGCUUCAAAGUCUUCUAAUUGCAAAUUGCCCAAAGUUGUUGGUUCUGCCUCAAGGGAUGCACCACCUCACUGCACUCAAAAGAUUAAUUAUUCAAGGGUGUCCAAAAUUAAGCAAAAGAUGCACUGAAGAAACCGGUGAAGACUGGCCUAAGAUUGCUCAUGUCCCUGACUUUUAUUGUGACGAAGCAGAUGACGAAUAGAUAAGGUAAGACACCAAAUACUAUAUAUCAAUAUAUAUAUAUAUACACUCUAUUUUUCACUAACAUAAAUGAAUUUUAUUUAAUCUGAAAUAUAAUGUCUCAAUUUAAUGUUAUGGCAGGGUUCUUCUGAUGGAAUUUAUUUGUCUAUUAAAGUGGAGGAUGUUGAAGUUGUCUUGGAUUGGUUCUUAUAUGUGUCAACGUCUUUGAGUUGUUCAAUUUCCAUUGUUUGUUUGUAAUUUGAUUUGUAUCAAAGACCAUUGAUAUAAUAUAUUUACUUUAUUGUAUUUUGGAACUCAAAGAAUUAAUUCAGAACUCUAUGUUUACAUAUAUAUUUUAGUUCUAUCUUUUAUAUUAUAUAUAUGAUACAUGAUUUUUAUUUUAUAUAAAAGUUUUUAAAAAAUAAUUGUUUUUUUAUAAGUUGACAUCAUUAUCAAUUAAUGUGUUGUUUCAUGUAUUAAUAAUUGUUGCGGAAAGGAUCGAUUCGAGAACUCCGAUAUGACUACAAGUAAAUUGACCGAAACGAAAAAUAAAGUGAACACAAGGAUUUACGUGGUUCGGCUUUAAUGCCUACGUCCACGGGCAGAGGCGAAAAGAAAUUUCACUAUAACAAGAUGAAGAUUACAAGUGUUUUACACUCAAGACACAACCCGAGAACCUCACAACUCUCAACCCCUAUAGAAAACCCGAAAGCUAAAAUCCUAGCUUUCAAAGAACAAGCUUUGCUCUCUCUUGGUUUGGGAUGAUAAAUAUGGCUAAUGAACCUCUCUAUUUAUAAGAGAGUUCAAGGACAUAAUUGUCCAAAACUUUGGCAAAGAUUUGUGGUUGAAAAUGGACACCAACAACCAUCCACUAAUCCACUACCACCAACAACCCACUACCAACAACAACAAUCCACUACCAAUUUUAAGCCAUUUCUUAACAAAUCUCCACCUUGGCUUGAAAUUUACCAAGCUGAACAUCAUAGUGAACUGGAUCACCUCUUCCAAACGCCUCUCUGGCGCUAAUCAAUCCCGAAUACCUAUCAAGUCCAAGCAAUGCUUGAACUUAUAUGCAGGGAUCACCUUAGUUAACAUAUCUGCAGGAUUCUUCUCGGUAGCAACCUUGCUGAUAACAAUGUCACCUUGCGUAACAUGUUCCCGAACAAAAUGAUAUCUGACAUCAAUGUGUUUGGUCCGUUCAUGAAACAUCUGAUUUUUAGUCAGAUGUAUGGCACUCUGGCUAUCGCAAAAUACAACAGUGAAAUCCUGUUGUAAACCCAAACUGCUUACUAGACCUUUCAUCCACAAUGCUUCUUUCACUGCUUCUGCUAACGCCAUAUAUUCCGCCUCAGUCGUAGAUAAGGCUACGGUAGACUGUAACACAGCUUUCCAACUAAUGGCUCCUCCAGAAUAAGUGAAAACAUAACCCGUCAGAGAUCUUCUUUUGUCCAGAUCUCCAGCAUAAUCAGAGUCCGCAUAGCCCGUGACACUGCUAGUGCAGUCACUCUGAUCAUAUACCAAGCAUAAAUCUGCAGAACCUCUCAAGUACCUGAGAAUCCAUUUCACGGCCUGCCAGUGUUCCUUGCCAGGACAACUCAUGUAUCUGCUGACCACACUAACUGCAUGUGAAAUGUCUGGACGAGUGCAAACCAUUGCAUACAUCACGCUUCCAACUGCACUCGAGUAUGGAAUGUGAGACAUUUGCUGCUUUUCUUCAUCAGAUUGUGGUGACAACUCUGCAGAGAGUUUGAAAUGUGGUGCCAACGGAGUACUCACAGUUUUCGCUUUAUCCAUGCCGAAGCGUUGAAGAACCUUUUCAAUGUAGUUCUUCUGCGACACACGAAGCUUGCCCGCCUUGCGAUCUCUGUGAAUAUCCAUGCCCAAAAUUUUCUUGGCAGCACCCAGAUCCUUCAUCUCGAACUCACCACUCAACUGCGACUUUAACUUGUUGAUUUCCGACAUGUUUUUGGAAGCAAUUAACAUGUCAUCAACAUACAGCAACAAAUAAAUGUGCGAACCAUCUGAGAGCUUCCGAUGAUAGACACAAGCAUCAUAGUCACAUCUUGUGUAACCAUGCUGAAUCAUGAAGCUAUCAAACCGCUUGUACCACUGCCUUGGGGAUUGUUUCAAUCCAUAUAAAGACUUCUUUAAUAGACAGACAUGGUCUUCUUUACCAGGAACUGUAAAACCCUCUGGUUGACGCAUGUAGAUUGUUUCCUCGAGCUCACCAUGCAAGAACGCCGUUUUUACGUCAAGCUGCUCAAGUUCUAGAUCAGACUUGGCCACCAUGGCAAGUAAUAUACGAAUGGAAGAAUGCUUUACGACUGGGGAGAAAACUUCAUUGUAGUCAAUCCCCUCUUUCUGAGUGAAGCCUUUAGCAACCAAUCGUGCCUUGAAUCUAGUUGCUUCAACCCCUAGGAUGCCUUCCUUUUUCUUGAAGACCCAUUUGCAACCAACUAUCUUCUGGUUACUUGGCGGCUUAACCAACUCCCAAGUAUGGUUCUUGUGAAGAGAUUCUAUCUCCUCACUCAUAGCAAUUGCCCACUGUGCCGACUCAUCACACGUGACAGCCUCAUUAUAACUGGAAGGUUCUAUACCAAUGGACUCCGCCACACUGAGCGCGAAAGACACCAGAUUAGCGUAACGCGGAUUUGGUUUGAUUUGUCUCUUCGUUCUUCCAGUGGCAAUGCUAUAUGGUUUUUCUUGAGGUGACUCAUCUUCAUCGGAAUCUUGCACCUCAACUUGAUCAUCCUGGACUGAAGUACCUUCCGUAGGAAUUGGAGCGUCCACCUGACACUCCACCUGCUUCUCAACACCGUGAUCUCCCAUUCUAUCUGACUCCUCCUUUUCCCGGGAAUUUGUGGUGGAUCGAAGCAUGGAUGACUCAUCAAAAGUCACAUCUCUGCUGAUGAUGAACUUGGACGAAACCGGAUCAGGACACCACAACCUGUAUCCUUUCACCCCUUGGCCGUAUCCAAGAAAUAUGCAUUUCUUCGCCCUCGGUUUGAGUUUUCCCUCAUUUACAUGAGCAUACGCAGGGCAGCCAAACACUCUUAAACCAGAGUAAUCAGCAGGAGAACCAGACCAUACUUCCUCAGGAGUCUUCAGCUCAAUAGCUGUUGACGGAGAUCUGUUAACCAAAUAACAAGCAGUAUUAACAGCUUCAGCCCAAAAUUCUUCACCGAGCCCAGCAUUUGAUCGCAUGCAACGAGCUCGCUCCAAGAGAGUUCUAUUCAUGCGUUCUGCAACUCCAUUUUGUUGUGGUGUUCGACGAACAGUGCGGUGUCUCACUAUUCCUUCAUUCUUGCAGAACUCAUUGAAUUCACCUGAGCAAAACUCCAAGCCAUUAUCCGUCCGGAAUCGCUUGAUCUUCUUUCCUGUUUGAUUUUCGAUCAAAGCUUUAAAUUGCUUGAAGUUGAUGAGAACCUCAUACUUGCUCUUCAGAAAAUACACCCAAACCUUUCUCGAGUAAUCAUCGAUAAAGGUAAGCAGAUAUCUGUAACCACCUUUAGAAAUUGUCGGAGAAGGCCCCCAAAGGUCAGAAUGGAAGUAAUCCACUGUGCCUUUUGUCUUGUGAAUCCCAGUGCUGAACUUUACCCGAGUCUGCUUACCGAAGACGCAGUGCUCACAGAAAUUCAACUUUCCUGUACACUGCCCAGACAAUAAUCCUCGUUUGCUUAGCACCGAUAAGCCUCUCUCGCUCAUAUGCCCGAGCCGCAUAUGCCAUAACUUCGUGGUGUCAGAAUCUAGAUCAUCUGAUGAUGACACUCCCGCAACACCUGUAACCGAGGAACCAUCGAGGAAGUAAAGGCCCCGCUCCAAAUUACCACGUAUCACAGUCAAAGCACCCGAGAAUACCUUGAGAACUCCACCUUCAGCAGAGUACCGAAAGCCUUUCUUGUCCAAGGUACUCAAAGAGAUCAAAUUUUUCUUCAUUUCUGGAAUGUGCCGAACAUCAGUUAGAGUUCUAACAAUACCGUCAAACAUCUUUAUACGAACUGUGCCAAUCCCCAUGACUUGACAUGCGUGGUCAUUUCCCAUUAGUACUGAACCAGAAUGCUUCUCGUAUGUUGAGAAUGCAUCUUUCGAAGUACUUAUAUGAAAUGUAGCUCCCGUAUCAAGAAUCCAUCUCCCACCAGCGUAAGAGUCGGAUACUGCAAGAACGAUCUCGGCAUCACUUGAAGAAUCUGCAUCAGCUACAUUCGCACGAUCAUUUUGUUGCUCCUGUGAUUCUGAUUUCUCCUUCCUUUUCGGACAAUCUACCUUCAUGUGCCCGUACUUCUUACAGUAGUAGCACUGUAUUCUCUUCUUGGACUGCGAUCUAGGAUGGCUUUUACUUGAACUUCCACCCUUUGCCUUGGAUCUUCCUCGAGCAACCAAGCCUUCGCCUUCAUUGUUUUCGACCACCUUACCAGUGAUUUUCUUCCUCAACUCACUGGAACUUAAGGCAUUUUUCACCUCCUCUAGAGUCAGGUCAUCACGACCGUACAUCAUUGUAUCAACAAAAUUCUCAUACGAGGGAGGCAAAGAACACAAAACAAUUAUUGCUUGGUCCUCAUCAUCGAUUUUGUUAUCGAUAUUAUUCAAAUCCAUGAUAAUGGAAUUGAAUUUAUCCAGGUGCUGGGAAACAGGUGUACCUUCCUCCAUCUUCAGGGCAUAGAGUCUUUGCUUGAGGUAGAGCCGGUUCGUCAAUGACUUCGUCAUGUACUUGCUUUCUAACCGGAGCCACAAACCGGACGCGGUUUUCUCAUCCGCUACUUCUCGUAGCACUUCAUCUCCUAGACAUAGCAGAAUAGCACUAUGUGCUCUUUCUAGCAUGUCAUCCUUUUGCUCUUCCGAAAGCGUGCUUGGUAAUUUAUCUUUACCAGACAAUGCUUUUAGCAAUCCUUGUUGAACCAGCACUGCCCGCAUCUUGAUGCGCCAUAAACUGAAACUAUUUUUCCCGGUAAAUUUCUCGACAUCAUACUUAGUCGAUGAAACACUUGUAGCCAUAAUUUGGAACCUUUGAAUGAAUGAUAAUAUUUUCUUCCUGAUGUGAAAGAUCAGACAAAGCUGCAGUCACAGGGCAAUUCAGAAAAUAUUAUCACUCCUUCAACUACGCUCUGAUACCAAUUUGUUGCGGAAAGGAUCGAUUCGAGAACUCCGAUAUGACUACAAGUAAAUUGACCGAAACGAAAAAUAAAGUGAACACAAGGAUUUACGUGGUUCGGCUUUAAUGCCUACGUCCACGGGCAGAGGCGAAAAGAAAUUUCACUAUAACAAGAUGAAGAUUACAAGUGUUUUACACUCAAGACACAACCCGAGAACCUCACAACUCUCAACCCCUAUAGAAAACCCGAAAGCUAAAAUCCUAGCUUUCAAAGAACAAGCUUUGCUCUCUCUUGGUUUGGGAUGAUAAAUAUGGCUAAUGAACCUCUCUAUUUAUAAGAGAGUUCAAGGACAUAAUUGUCCAAAACUUUGGCAAAGAUUUGUGGUUGAAAAUGGACACCAACAACCAUCCACUAAUCCACUACCACCAACAACCCACUACCAACAACAACAAUCCACUACCAAUUUUAAGCCAUUUCUUAACAAUAAUUAUGGGUUUAAAAUUAAUAUAUUUAAACAUUUCACUGUUAUAAUUAUACUAAUAUUCUUAGAAUCCAAUAAUCGAAUCGAUCAUACCAUCUAUAUCUGAUUCAACCGAAUUAUAAACUAUAAAAACUAAGAGGAUUGUAAUGCUCCCUAUUAUAUAUAUGACUUAAAUGGUAAUUGUAUGACUCCUGAUUAAAGAUAAUAGAUAUUUUUAUAUAAUGUAAGCCAUAAUUCGUAAAUAAAUAUAUUACUAUAAUUGUUUAAAUCAAUUAAAUUUAAUAUCGGGUUUCUAAUGAUAAUAUAUUAGUUGGCAUGGCCGCAUUCUGGAUUUGUUUAAUCCAAUCUUGACAUUUUGGAUUUGUCGGCUUGUAAUUUCAAGAACCAGUCAUGAUUCCCAUAGUCGACAUUAUUUUCCAGUGUAAAGCUUCAAGAACUGCCAUCCUUGGCAUCUAAUACCUUGGUAUCCGAAAAUUAUUACUGAAUUUCAUACAAGAAACAAUUACCAUGGCUGAAUCCUUUGUAUUCGAGAUCGCCGCAAAAGUAUUGAAGAAACUAGGGAGUGCUACCUAUGAAAGAAUUAGCUUGGCAUGGGGUGUUCGAGGGGAGUUUGAAAAGCUUAAGCUGACCCUAGCUGCUAUCAGAGUUGUGGUCCUGGAUGCUAAACAACAACAGGCUCGGAAGCAUGAGAUUAGUCAUUGGCUGCUCAAGUUCAAAGAUGCUUUGCUAUGAAACGGAAGAUUUGAAAGACGAGUUCGAGAUCCAAGCGUUGAGGAGGCAAGUCCUGGAACAGGGAAGCAUUUUGGCAUGUCGGUUUAGGAUGGGCAAUAAGAUCUGUCGAAACCAUUUUUUUGGCGAACAAAAAAUUUAGGUUGUCGACUUUAAAAAAUGAAAAUUGGGAGUCGCCACCAAUUUUUUAUUAAGGUGUGAUUGGGUCACCUAAAAACGACUUUGGUCUACGAAUUUUAGAAAAGUGGGUUCGGGAGUCAGUUACAUAUGAGAAGGAUUAGCACCCUCAUUACGCCCAAAAAUUAGUACCUAGUUAAUUAAUUAAUGUCUUAAUGUCGAAAAUUUGAAAAAUAUAAUCCUUAGCAAAAACUUAAAACGUUACGUAUUAAAACCCUUAUCAUUUCAGAGAAAGAAAAUGCCACACCCAAUGCGUUAGGGCACGACAUUCUAAUUUCCUCCAAAAUGAAUUAGGUCAGAAUACUCGUGUAAUAAAAAUUUAAAAGAAUAUCCAUUUAUUCAAGAUUUAAGAAAUCGCGGCCCAAUACGUUAGGGCACAAUUCCUUUAAAAUCCCAAACUCGGAAUAUUUCUUUAUUAUUUUUUUAGAAAAAAUCUUUAUUUCGAGAAAUCAAUGCGUUACAUCCAAUACGUUAGGACACAACGUGUUGAAUUCCCAAUAAUGGGUUCUUAUUUUUUUAAUAAAGAGAAAUGCUCGAUUGUUAGAUUUAACGAAGAAAAUCGAAACCUAAUACCUUAGGGCUCAAUUUCCUUGAAAAUCCUAAAUACAAGCAUUAUCUCAAUUUUGAAAAGUCCUAUUUUUUUUUUAAAUUUGAAUAAGAAGAUGAUGUAAUGUGAUAUUGAAUGUGUGUAAUAAUGUCGCAAUAACAAGUACAACAAUCUUGCACCAUAUUGGCAAUCGAAAGGUAAUGAAUUAAAAGCUAAUUUUCAAAAGAAAUAAAUCCUACAUAAAAUAAUAAUAUCUUGAUAAACUUUUAACUAAACAUUAUAUAGGAAAAAAAAAGGUGAUAUAUGUAAAAUACGUAUAUUUAGAAAAGUAGAAGACUUAAUAAGGUGAUAUAUGUAAAAUACGUAUAUGUAAAAGAUGCUUGCUACGACGUGGAAGAUUUGAUAGACGAGUUCGAGAUCCAAGCAUUGAGGAGGCAAGUCCUGGAAAGGACCGGAAAGAAGGUACGCCAUUUCUUUUCUGGCUCUAACCCUUUGGCAUUUCGUUUUAGGAUGGGUUAUAAGAUCAAAAAGGCUAACGAGAUGUUGAAUGAGAUUGCAACUAGCAUGGCCAAGUUUCAUCUCACUGAAAAACAUGAACCUAAUGAUGUCAUACAUCGUGAGAGGGAAACCUACUCCUUUGUUAAUACAUCUAGUGUCAUCGGUCGAGAUGAAGCUAAACAACAUCUAGUUAACUUCUUAAUGAAUCCAAUUGAUGGGGAAGAUAUCCCUGUCCUUCCCACAGUUGGGAUCGGAGGUAUUGGGAAAACUACCCUGGCCCAAUUGGUGUUUAACGAGGAGAGUGUGAAGUCGCAUUUUGAAUUGAGAAUCUGGGUGUGUGUUACAGAGGAUUUUGACAUCAAACAACUGAUGAUAAAAAUCAUUAAAUCUGCCACUCGUAUGAACUGCAAGGUGUUGGAUAAAAUGGCAGUAGCAAAGAAAGCAAAAACGAAUGAAAGAAAAAAAAACAAAAGAAAAGAACUCAGCAAGAAAAUUUGUAACUAAGAAGUUGUCAUAAUUUCAUUCAAAUUUUGAAUAUAUGAUGGUUACAAAAGUAUUUGACAGUUACCUACUAAUUUAACUUCUCUUACUUACUAAAAAUAUAGCAACUUGUAUACAAAAGAAAGCUGGCAUACCAGCUAUUACAUCAGUCAAUCUUUCCUACUAACUUAGCUAACUCAUUACAAAGAUUUAGACUAAGUUCCAUAGGAACAAAUAUUCAAAAAGUAAUUUUAUAACUGAACCAACUCCAUUUCUUUGCUACAAAACAGUAUAGCAGCUCAAAUUGUACAAUUUGCUGCUGUUGGUCUUUUGACCAAUUUGUUGCUGUUGGUUCUUUGUUGCAAUGCAGGCCACGGCUUCAACACUCCUCCUUGGUCUGUAUGCAACAAACACCAAUCCUUUCCUUCAAAGCAUUAAAUCGGUUGGCUCCCAAUGGUUUAGUUAAAAUGUCAGCUAGCUGAAUUUCUGAGCUGCAAUGAACUAAGCUAACCUCCCUAGAUUGCUCAGCUUCUCUAACAAAAUGGAAUUUGAUUUUGAAGUGUUUAGUCUUACCAUGGAAGACUGGAUUCUUGGCUAUGGCCACAGCUGAUUGAUUAUCCACUCUAAUCUCAGUAGGCUGAACUUGACUUUCAUUCAAAUCAUCCAAAAUCUUCCUAAGCCAAAUGGCUUGGUUCACAGCUGCUGCAGCUGAGAUAUACUCAGCCUCUGCUGUAGAUUGUGCAACAGUUUGUUGCUUCUUGGAACUCCAGCUGAAAACACUCGAGCCUAAGGUAAAAAAAUAACCUGAAGUGCUCCUCAUGUCAUCAACUGACCCUGUCCAAUCGCUAUCAGAAUAGCCUACGAGUUUCAGCUCCCUUGCCCUCCAAAACUUCACACCAGUAUCGAUGGUUCCUUUGACAUACCUUAACACUCUUUUUGCUGCCUUCAGAUGUGCCACAUUACUGCAGUGCAUAAACCUUGAAAGUAGACUAACAGCAUAGACAAUGUCUGGUCUAGUUGCUGUUAAAUAAAGCAAACAACCAAUUAAGCUUCUAUAUGCCUUCUCAUCUACUCGAUCAUGUUCACUGGCACUUGACAAUUUUUCUCCCAAUGCAACUGGUGUAGUGACUGAUUUGCAUUUCAACAUGCAAAAUUUUUCAAGCACCUUGGAAGCAAAUGUUUGCUGACUUAUGAAAAUGCCAUCACUUCCUUGUUUUAUCUCCAUGCCAAGAAAGUAGGUCAUCAGACCAAGGUCAGUCAUCUCAAAGACAUGUUGCAUCUGUUUCUUGAAGUCUUCAAUAAGUUCAUCUUUGCAGCCAAUAACCAACAGAUCAUCAACAUACAAGGAAACAAUUAACAAGGUUUCCUCCUGAUCCUUCUUAACAUAGAGUGUAGGCUCACUGAUACUCUUUGUGAACCCGAGCCUUGCUAAGUAGCCAUCAAUCCUCUCAUACCAGGCCCUUGGAGCCUGUUUUAGACCGUACAAAGCCUUUUUCAGCUUGUAGACCUUCUGUUCUUCACCAGUGACCAUAAAACCAUCAGGUUGCUCAAUGAAUAUUUCUUCAUUAAGAAAGCCAUUUAGAAAGGCUGACUUAACAUCCAGAUGAUGCACCUUCCAAUGCUUUUGAGCUGCCAAAGCUAGCAGCAAUCUGAUAGUAUCCAACCUUGCAACAGGUGCAAAGGUUUCAGAAAAAUCAACCCCUUGCUGCUGACUAUAACCUUUAACAACCAGUCUGGCCUUAUGUCUAUUAAGAGAGCCAUCUGCAUUGUUCUUAAUUCUAUAGACCCACUUUACACCUAUAAUUUUUCUGUUUUCAGGUCUGUUUACAAGCUCCCAUGUAUCAUUUUUCUGAAUCAUUUUAAAUUCAGCUUCCAUAGCAUCCUGCCAGCAUUUUUCUUUUGCAGCUUCUUCAAAACAUGAAGGCUCUACUAUAGUUACUGUACAUCUCUCAUAGAUGUCAGUUAAUGUCCUGGUGCCUCGAAUAGGUUGAUCAUCAUAGCCAUUUUCAAUUACUUCUUCAUUUUCAGCUUGCUGCAGAUCAACAUCAAUCUCUUCUUCAUCUGGCAAAUUUGCUUCAAUUCCAUCCCAUUUCCAGCUACUUGCUUCACUGAAUUUCACAUCUCUGCUCACUACAACCUUCUUGGUCAGUGGAUCAAAGACUCUGUAUCCUUUCUUCACAUUGCUGUAGCCAACAAACACCCCAGGCAUGGACCUCUUGUCCAACUUGGUUCUUCUCUCCUCAGGUACCAACACAUAACAUAGACAACCAAAUACCUUCAAAUGAGAGACAGAUGGUUUCUGUGCAAACCAGGCUUCAAAGGGAGUUUUUCCUUUGACUGCAUUAGUUGGCAACCUAUUCAACAGGUAAAUAGCUGUAUUCACAGCUUCAGCCCAAAAAACAUUAGGCAUAUUAGCCUCAAAUAACAAACACCUAGCAAAUAUCAAGGACUGUUCUGUUUUUCCUUUCACAAACACCAUUUUGCUGUGGUGUGUACACAGUAGUCAAUUGGUGUUGAAUUCCAGCAUCAUCACACAAUUUUUGAAACUUCUGAGAUACAUACUCAGAACCAUUGUCAGACCUCAAACAUUUUAGUUUGCAAUUUUCUUGGUUUUCGACCAAGGCUUUAAAUUUGCAGAAGGAGUCAUAAACAUCUGACUUAUGCUUCAAAAAAUUUACCCAACAGAACCUUGAAUAAUCAUCAAUGAAGAGUACAAAGUACCUGCUGCCAUUUAAGGAGGUAGUCUUCAUUGGUCCACAGAUGUCUGUAUGAAUAAGCUGAAGCUUCCCUUGUGCUCUCCAUGCCUUGUUGACUGGAAAGGGUAAUCUGGUCUGUUUGCCUAGCUGACAGACCUCACAUACAGCAUCCUUUGGCUCAAUUUUGGACAUAUCACUGACCAAAUCCAUUUUGUGCAGCAUGCUCAGUGAAUUGUAGUUCACAUGCCCCAUCCUCCUGUGCCACAAGUCUGUCUCAUCAGACUGAGAUGCGUAUGCCUUGGCUUGCAGUUGAUUCACAUCCACAAUGAAGGUUCUGUCUUGCAUAGCCACUGUAGUCAACACUUCACCAGCAGCAUUUUUGAUCAAACAGUUUUUGCCUUCAAAAAUCAGAGAGUAACCCUUCUCCAAUAGCUGGCCAACACUUAGCAAGUUUUGGUCAAUGUCAGGUACAUAGAGAACCUCUGAAAUGGUUUUAAUACCUGACUUAGUGCUUAUCAAAGCCUUGCCUUUCCCUUUUGCCUCUAGCAGCUCACCAUUGCCAAUUUUGACUUUGGACUUGAAGGUGGUGUCAAGCUCCUUAAAUAUACUCUUCUCAGAAGCCAUAUGGUAGGUACAUCCACUGUCAAUCAACCAUAUUUUACUAACUUUGCUCGAGCUUGCAAAGCAUGAUGCUGAAAAAAACAUGCUCUUCUGGUGAUUCAACCUCUUCUGCAGCUUGAGCUUGGCUUUGAAAUUGUGGUUGUGGUUUUGGCUUGCUCUUACAGACCUUUUCAAUGUGGCCAAAUUGCUUGCAGGCUCUACAUUGAAUGUCUGGUCUGUACCAGCAGUAUUUCUCAAGAUGAGUAGUCUUCUUGCAAUGGACACAAGGUGGGAACUUCCUUUUGACAGGUUCUUUCUUCUUUUUCUCAGUCCAGGGCUUCUUGCCUUUGGCAUUUAAGUUUGAACUUGAGCUUUCUCUGCUUCUAGCCUGAAAAGCUCCGUCAUAGUGGUCCUCCUGCCUAUUUGCCCUUCUCUGCUCUUGAGCAUAGAGAGCAUUUAUAAGCUCUGUCAAAGGGAUUGUUGACAAGUCCCUUGAAUCUUCCAGAGAAGAAAUUUUUGCUUCAUACUUCUCUGGCAAGGUUGUUAUGACCUUCUCAACCACUCUUUGGUCACUGAAUUCUUCCCCAAGCAGCCUUAUGUUGUUGACAGUAGCCAUGAUUCUGUCAGCAUACUGCUUGAUGGUUUCUGAGUCCUUCAUUUUGAGAUUUUCAAAAUCUCUUCUCAUGUUGAUCAGCUGCUGUUGCCUGGUCUUGUCAGACCCCUGAAACUCCUCCUUGAGUUUGUCCCAGGCCUACUUUGGAGUGUCACAAGCCAUUAUUCUUGUGAAAAUAACAUCAGAAACUCCACUUUGAAGGCACGACAUAGCCUUAUACUUCUUGGCACAGUCUUCAUUGUGCUGCCUAAUCUGGGCUAUAGUCGGGUUGGCUCUUAGUGGUGGUGGCUCAGUGUCAUUGAGAACAACAUUCCACAGGUCGUGUGCCUGCAGGUAUGUUCUCAUUUUCACUGCCCAGAUGUUGUAAUUUUCUCCAGCAAAGACAGGUGGAGGAGGUGGUGUAAAACUCAUUUUUCAGCAAGCAAAACAACCUCUUCUUCUUUUGUUUCAAACUCAAUUUGCUUAGUGACAGUGUACAACCAAGGCCCUCAAAGACUGAAAGCUCUUGAUACCAUUUGUUGGAUAAAAUGGCAGUAGCAAAGAAAGCAAAAACGAAUGAAAGAAAAAAAAAUAAAAGAAAAGAACUCAGCAAGAAAAUUUGUAACUAAGAAGUUGUCAUAAUUUCAUUCAAAUUUUGAAUAUAUGAUGGUUACAAAAGUAUUUGACAGUUACCUACUAAUUUAACUGCUCUUACUUACUAAAAAUAUAGCAACUUGUAUACAAAAGAAAGCUGGCAUACCAGCUAUUACAUCAGUCAAUCUUUCCUACUAACUUAGCUAACUCAUUACAAAGAUUUAGACUAAGUUCCAUAGGAACAAAUAUUCAAAAAGUAAUUUUAUAACUGAACCAACUCCAUUUCUUUGCUACAAAACAGUAUAGCAGCUCAAAUUGUACAAUUUGCUGCUGUUGGUCUUUUGACCAAUUUGUUGCUGUUGGUUCUUUGUUGCAAUGCAGGCCACGGCUUCAACACAAGGACAUGAAUAAGGAGGAAUUACAUAAAGUUUUGCAAGACUGUUUGAAUGGUAAAAGAUUUUUUAUGGUACUAGAUGAUGUCUGGAACGAGGACAAGAAGAAAUGGAGUGAGCUGAAAGAUUUGUUGUGUGGGGGAGCCCAAGGGAGUAGAAUCAUUGUCACAACUCGUGGCCGCAAAGUGGCUACAAUCACAGGCAUAAUCCCUCCAUACGAUUUAGAGCAUCUUUCUUAUGACAAUUGUCUAUCAUUGUUUCUUAAACUUGCCUUUAAAGAAGGUGAAGAGAAACAACAUGACAAUCUUGUAAGAAUCGGGGAAGGAAUUGUUCAAAAAUGCAAAGGGGUUGCUUUGGCCGUGAAGACUUUAGGCAGCCUACUCUGUUCAACUAGGAUACAACAUGAUUGGGAACUUGUGCGAGAUAGUGAACUAUGGAAGUUGAAACAGGAGGAAAAUGACAUCUUGCCUGCUCUAAAACUAAGUUAUGAUCAUUUGCCCUAGUAUUUAAAGCAAUGUUUUGCUUUUUGUUCAGUUUUUCCAAAAGAUUUUGAAUUCAGUCAUCUCUAUUUGAUCUCCCUUUGGAUGGCAAAUGGCUUUUUGCAAUCACCAUACGAAAAUGAAGAGCCAGAAGAUAUUAGGAAUCGGUAUAUACAAGAGUGACUAUCAAGAUCUUUCUUCCAACAAGUUGAAGAUGAGAUUUUUUUUUCCACCUUCAAAAUGCAUGAUUUAGUACAUGAUCUUGCAUUAUCAGUGGCGCAAAAUGAGGUGAAUUCAUGGAACCAUUAUUCGACUGGGAAUGUUCGACAUUUAUGGUUUGAUCUAUCGAAGCAGGAUGCUUCCCAGUUGCCAAAUAACUUGGGUUGUCUGCAAUCACUUUUCUUAUCAGAUGAAGAAGGCAAGGCUGAUAACGAAUCUCUUAUUGCAGAAGUCAUCUCAAGGUCUAAACAUUUGAGGGUGUUAGAUUUGGGUAACUGCAGUUUAGAGCAAUUGCCAAACAACAUACAUUAUUUAAAGCAGUUGAGAUGGUUGAACCUAGACAACAAUGGAAAUAUAAAAGGAUUUCCAAAUUCCAUUUGCAAUUUGCAGAGUUUGCAAACACUUCACCUUGUUGAAUGUAGGGGAAUUGAAGAGUUACCAAAAGACAUAAGGUACCUGAUUAGCCUUAGAGAAUUAUCGGUAACAACAAAACAGACGCGUUUGCAAGAGAAUGGAAUAUCGUGCCUCACUUGUCUUCGAAGGUUGAUCUUUUCUGAAUGUGAAAAUUUAGAAAAAUUGUUUGAAGACAUUCAAAACCUAACAGCCCUUCGAGAAUUAACCAUAGUUGAAUGCAACAACUUGGUUUCAUUGCCACAAGGUUUAAAAUACCUACCUACAUUAGAAAGUUUGUCAAUUGUAAAAUGUGAAAAGCUUGAUCUCACUAUGGAGGAGUUGGAACUUGAGAGGGAAGAAGGUGGUAGCCUUAGAAAUUUGUGGAUCGAAGGAGUGCCAAAGCUGGAGUCACUACCCCAAUGGAUUCUUCUAGGAUCCAUCAAAACUUUGCAGCAGUUGGACAUCUGCAACUUGAAGAAUCUCUCGACGUUACCAACAUGGUUCCAACAUCUCACAUCGCUCAAAGUCUUCAAAUUUCAAAAUUGCCCAAGGUUGUCGUCUCUACCAGAAGGGAUGCAACACCUCACUGCACUCAAAAGAUUAGAGAUUAGAGGGUGUCCAAAAUUAAACAAAAGAUGCAUUAAAGAAACCGGUGAAGACUGGCCUAAGAUUGCUCAUGUCCCUGACUUUUAUUGUGAUGACUUGGAGACAACAACAAAUGAGGAAUAGAUAAGGUAAGUCACCAAACACUGCUCUAUUUGGUAUAUAUCUAUUUAGCUUUUAAAUUUUAAUAUUACUCUAUUUCACACUAACAUAAUUGAAUUUUAUCUACUCUGAACCAAAUAAAACUUCACCUAGUAGAAUAAAAAUACUUCAAAAGCGAAUCUAAUAAGAUGCUAAAUGUCUUUUUUAAUUAUUUAAUGGAUUAAUAUUUAGUAUAUUGUUAGUAUUUUUUUAUUUUAUAAAUAAUAUUAAAAAAUUAUCAUGUGUAUAAGAUAUUAUCCAAAUGUAAAAUGCCUCAAUUUAAUGUUAUGCAGAGAUUUUCUAACACAACUUAUUUAUUGAUUAAAGUGGCAGGUCAAAUUUAAAGAGGUUGAAAUUAACUUUGGUGCUUUCCCAUAUAUAUAUAUAUAAAAGUGUGAAUUAUUGGUUUAUAAUUUGAUUUGUAUCAAAGACAAUAAUGUAAUAAUUUGAUUUCUUUGGUUUGUAAAUGUAAUCAUCACUUGUUUGCUUCUUAUUUUCUUUAUUAUAAUUAAAUAAAUAAAAUAAUUUUUUGAGUGGGAAAUUUAAGAUUUUAUCAAUUCAAUUGGCAUGGGUUUAAAUUUUAUUUUAUGCAUAUUUUAUUAUUAUCUUUAUUCAAAUAAUAUAAAUUAUUUUAAAUGCGAAGAGACAUUAAAGUAAUUUCCUUAAUUGAGUUGGGAUCCACACAAACUCAAUAAAGAGCUUUAUAAAUCAAAACAAAAUAAAGUCUCGGUUAAGUGUUAAAUUUAAGACUUUUUUUUUUCAAUAUAAUUUGACAUGAGUUUAAAUCAAUGUAGCUAGUUCCGCAUCAAUUCCAUUGCACGCUCGGUGCACACUAUUCCAAUAAUAAACUGAAAUGAUCACUUCUUUUUUUGCACUGGCAUAAAUUUUGAUCUAUAUCAGUUAUACCAACUCAUUCUGACCAAUUUCAGUUGUACCAGUUGGAACAUUUUACACCGACCAAUACAAGAAUAAUGUUAAAAAAUAGAUAAAAUUAUUAUUUUACCAACUUUAAUUUUUUUAAUAACCAAAUUUAAAUUUUAAACUUUAGUAAAUGAACAACUUUCAAAAUUAUAGUAGAAAAUUAAUAAUAAAAAAGUAAAAAAAAAUUAUACUAAUAGGAAAAAAAAAGACAAAUUCUAAAAGUUUCACCAACACAGCAUGUUUUAUUAAACUUUUAUUUUAUGUAUUUAGUAUGAGAUUUUUUAAAAUAAUGUAGUGGAUAAUUUUUGUUGUUUAACAUGUGAAAUAAUUUUCUUCUUGUUUAUUUUAAAUUUGUUAAAUAAUAAAAUUUUAUUUGUGAAGUUUAUUUAUGAGUGUUUUAUAUAAUUAAUUAAUAUUUUUAUAUUUGAAAUUAUUUAAUUUAAUUCAUUUGAUAUAUUUAAAUAUUUUAUGCAUUAAAUGUUUUUCAAAAAUAUUGAUAAAUCCGAAACGAUACAUCAAAAUAGAUGAAUAUCAGCACUUACUAGAUUCAAUAGAAAAUGAUACAUCCAUUAGUGGGAUACUAACUACCUUGGUUCAAAUUCCAUCCUAUGCAAUUUUUUUUAAAUUUAAAAAUAUUAAAAUGUCAUCGAAUAAUAUAACUUAUUUUAAAUAAAAAAGGAUAUUUUCAUAAUUUUCCUAAUCAAAUUGGUGCUCGACUCACUCAUGACACCAAAUCAGUUAGGGAUUUUAUUAAUAAUACGUAUAGGUAAUAAGAAAGUAUGCAUAAUAAAAUUAAAAUGUAUAAACAAAUUAAAAUAAAUUUUUGGUUAAGUGAUAAAUUUAAAAAAUUUUCAAUGUAAUUUGGUAUGAGUUCAAAUUCAAUAAUAUGCAUUUUUUCUAUUUUUAAAAAAACAAAAAGACUAAAGUACCCUUAAAUAAUAUAUCUUAUUUUAAAUUUGAAAGGAUAUUUUUGUUAUUUUCUCCUAACUGAGUUGGUGCUUGAUUGACUCGUGACACCAACUUAAUCAGGAUUUUAUUAAUAGUAUAGAUACACAAAUUUGGUGGGAGAAAAUAAUUUAUAUCAAGAGUUAUUUUGUCUAAAGUUUACUUAGGAAUCAUUAUUGGUGUCGUGGUAAUUUCUUUGACAUGUUAAUUUUAAUUCUUUUAUUUUAAAACUAUAUAAAAGUAUGAAAAUACAAAAAAAGACCGUUAAAAUAGUAAUAAUAGACAUUUAAUAAAAGAGUAUAUUAAUCAUUUCUUAAUCGAGUCAGUAUUUGAUUAAUCAAUAUCAGAAAUUUUAUUAAUAAUAUAGAUUAUUCUAAAUAUAUAAAAAAAAGUUCCUAUGUGGCCCAAAGCAUAUCAUACAAAAAUGUAAUACAAUGGCCCAACACUUUAUUUUUCUGGGGAUCAUGUUAUCAAUGAUGAACAUUAUUUUGAUAAUGGUUAGGCUGAUAAGGAACAAAAAAAAGGCACACAAAGUCUACUAAUUUACCCAACAAAUUUUAAAAAUAUUUUACGUUGCAGUCUUUCAAGCUUGAUGCUAAUCUAUUAAAUUAAAAUGAUCAAAUCUUUGAUGGAAUGAUACAUCUAUUUAUCUACUUCUUCAACCACACCCAUAAUAGAUAAUUAAAAAAAAUCAACAUAAAAUAUGAAUUGUUAUAAUAUAUAAAUAGAUACAUUAACUUGUCAAGUACACUAAAACUCAAUAGGUAUGUUGUUUAUAAAUGGCAAUUGGGUAAGUUUUUUAAUACCCAAAAGAAAAGAGGGGUCAAAUAGAAUGUGUUGAGAAUAUGUUGAGGGUGUAUUUGGAUUCUCAUAUUCACAAAAUAUCAAACAUGUCAUAAUCUAUGCAUACAAGUUGAUUUAACAACAUUAAUUCAUUGUUAACUUUUUAGAAAUAAAUAUUUUACGUAUUAUAAUAGUAGUUCAACUUACCUUUUUCACCGGAUUGGGCGUCUCCGUCGCUAUCGGAGCACUGGCCCAGGUGAUCGGCGGCGCAAAGGGCUGGGGUUGAAGAAACCCUAGCAGAGAAUUUUGUUUUUUUUUCCUCCUUUCUACUGCAAGUGUUUUUAAAAAAAAAAACUGUUUUAAAACUAAAGAGCAAAACGGCGCCGUUCUUGGGGGGUCCGCGCGUUGACCCGACCCGCAGGUUGGAUCCGCGCCUCUCUACCCUAAAUGGGUAAUUUUCACAAUUGGCCCCCCAAGUUUUGCAAUUGUUUUAAAUUUACUCUUUUAUUUCUUUUAAAUCUUGCCAUAUAUUUUAUUUCUGUUUCAAUUCGGUCCACAUUACUGCAUAGUGCUUGAGAGGUUUGGGUAAAUUUCCCUUUGGAUCCCCCUCCUGUUGCGCACGUUUUGAUUUGGUUCUUCCUGGUGUUUUCUAUCUUUAAAUUCGGCCUUUUAACUUCAUUUAGUUUUUAGUUUAAUCCUUAAUCUUCCAUUCUAAGUUUUUCUUUUAGUUUUAUUAUUAUUAUUAUUAUUAUACUUACAUAUAUACGUAUAUGUAUGCUAAUAGAUAUAUAUAUAUUUUAAAUGUUUUUUAAUACAUAUACAUAUAUUUUUAUAUAUUUUGCUAUUAUUUCAUUUUCUUAGUUUCUAUAUGCAUAUAUACGUAUGUACAUUUAUACUUUUAUAAUAUUUAUACAUUUUUCAUAUUUUAUAAUCAAAAUUAUUGUAAAUAGAUUUUCCGUUUUUUUAUAUACAUAUAUACACAUAUUUUCAAAUUUACUUGUAUAUUGUGCUUGUGUUUACAUAUUUUGUAAAUACAUGUACAUAUAUAUUUUAAAUUAAAAUAUUUGUUUCAUACUGUACAUUAAUUUUUAACAUACCCUUUGGAAAAUAAAUCUUGUUUUUUUCGAUAAAUCAAAAUCAUUUUUUCUUGAUUCAAGGUUUAUUUUGAAUAAAACUAAUAUUCGAAGUUUGGGAUUUUCGAGGAAAUUGAGCCCUAACGUAUUGGGUUCCGAUUUUCUUUGUUAAUCUUAAAUAAACGAGGAUAUUCUUUAUUCAAAAUGCAUGAGUAUAAAAUCAUUUUUGGGAACUUAACUUGUUGUGUCCUAACGCAUUGGGUGUGGCAUGUUACUUUCUCAAAAUGAAGAUUUUCACAUAAAAUAAAAGUGAUAUUCAAAGUUCGGGGAUUAUGAGGAAUUGUACCCUAACGUAUUGGGACUUGAUUCCUUUACAUGACUUGAAAAAUCGAUUAUCCUUUUUCAAAUUUCAUCAUUUGAGUUGAUUUUAAGAUCUUUUUAAAUUUUUGACACCAAGAUAUUAAAUAAUCAAUUUGGUACCGAUUUUGGGCGUUACGAGGGUGCUAACCCUUCCUCGUGCGUAACUGACUCCCGAACCUGUUUUCUCAAAUUUCGCAGACUGAAAUUGUUUUUAAGGUGAGCCGAUCACACCUCAAUCAACGAUCGGUGGCGACUCCAAUUUUUUAUUUUUAAAGUCGACAACUAAAAUUUUUGUUUUCAAAAAGACGGUUUCGACAGUGGUAAUUUCUGUGACAUGUUAAUUUUAAUUCUUUUAUUUUAAAACUAUAUAAAAGUAUGAAAAUACAAAAAAAGACCAUUAAAAUAGUAAUAAUAGACAUUUAAUAAAAGAGUAUAUUAAUCAUUUCUUAAUCGAGUCAGCAUUUGAUUAAUCAAUAAACCGAUUCAAUCAGAAAUUUUAUUAAUAAUAUAGAUUAUUCUAAAUAUAUAAAAAAAAAGUUCCUAUGUGGCCCAAAGCAUAUCAUACAAAAAUGUAAUACAAUGGCCCAACACUUUAUUUUUCUGGGGAUCAUGUUAUCAAUGAUGAACAUUAUUUUGAUAAUGGUUAGGCUGAUAAGGAACAAAAAAAAGCACACAAAGUCUACUAAUUUACCCAACAAAUUUUAAAAAUAUUUUACAUUGCAAUCUUUCAAGCUUGAUGCUAAUCUAUUAAAUUAAAAUGAUCAAAUCUGUGAUGGAAUGAUACAUCUAUUUAUUUACUUCUUCAACCACACCCAUAAUUAUUUAACAUGGAAAAAUAAUUUAAAAAAUCAACAUAAAAUAUGAAUUGUUAUUAUAUAUAAAUAGAUACAUAACUACACUAAAACUCAAUAGGUAUCUUGUUUAUAAAUGGCAAUUGGGUAAGUUUUUUAAUACCCAAAAGAGAAGAAGGGUCAAAUAGAAUGUGUUGAGAAUAUGUUGAGGGUGUAUUUGGAUUGUGAUGAAGAUAUUAUAUUGUGUUUCAAUAAUAAUUAAGAUUCUCAUAUCCACAAAAUAUCAAACAUGUCAUCAUCUAUGCAUACAAGUUGAUUUAACAACAUUAAUUAAUUCAUUGUUAAUUUUACGAUACACGUAUGCAUGUGAAAUUACAAAUUUCGAAUAUAAAUGUACGUUUAAAAAUAACAUAUAAUAAACAACGAAAUGUAUGUUUUGAAACUGAUCAAUUAUAAUAACACAUAAAAUAUGUGUAAGACAAAAUUUUAAACACAUAAAUACAUCAAAUAAAUACAUCAAAGAUGCUUGCUACGACGUGGAAGAUUUGAUAGACGAGUUCGAGAUCCAAGCAUUGAGGAGGCAAGUCCUGGAAAGGACCGGAAAGAAGGUACGCCAUUUCUUUUCUGGCUCUAACCCUUUGGCAUUUCGUUUUAGGAUGGGUUAUAAGAUCAAAAAGGCAAACGAGAUGUUGAAUGAGAUUGCAACUAGAAUGGCCAAGUUUCAUCUCACUGAAAAACAUGAACCUAAUGAUGUCAUACAUCGUGAGAGGGAAACCUACUCCUUUGUUAAUACAUCUAGUGUCAUCGGUCGAGAUGAAGCUAAACAACACCUAAUAAACUUCUUAAUGAAUCCAACUGAUGAGAAAGAUAUCCCUGUCCUUCCCAUAGUUGGGAUCGGAGGUAUUGGGAAAACUACCCUUGCCCAAUUGGUGUUUAAUGAGAAGAGCGUGAAGUCGCAUUUUGAAUUGAGAAUCUGGGUGUGUGUUACAGAGGAUUUUGACAUCAAACAACUGAUGAUAAAAACCAUUCAAUCUGCCACUGGUAUGAACUGCAAGGACAUGAAUAAGGAGGAACUGCAUAAAGUUUUACAAGAUUGUUUGAAUGGUAAAAGAUUUUUUAUGGUAUUGGAUGAUGUCUGGAACGAGGACAAAAAGAAAUGGAGUGAGCUGAAAGAUUUGUUGUGUGGGGGAGCCCAAUGGAGUAGAAUAAUUGUCACAACUCGUAGCCGCAAAGUGGCUACAAUCACAGGCACAAUCCCUUCAUAUGAUUUAGAGCAUCUUUCUUAUGAGAAUUGUCUAUCAUUGUUUCUUCAACUUGCCUUUAAAGAAGGUGAAGAGAAACAAUAUGACAAUCUUGUAAGAAUCGGGGAAGGAAUUGUUCAUAAAUGCAAAGGGGUUGCUUUGGC
rnacentral:lncRNA from 1 species